rnacentral:rRNA from 1 species
AUGAAAUUCCGCAAAGGGGGCAAGGUGGAGGUACUGCAGAAGGCGGAGGCACCUUUCGGUUCCUGGCGGCCUGCCGAGAUCCUUUCUGGCAAUGGGCACACCUAUCUUGUAAGCUAUGAUCCAUGUCUGCUUGCCGGUAGCCUGGCCAUUGAAAGGGUUCCAAGAAAGGUGAUAAGGCCUUCUCCCCCGUCCCCAGAUGGUCCGGUAUGCUGGGUCCCAGGCGACAUCCUUGAAGUCUUCGACAACUAUUCAUGGAAGGUUGUGGAAGUCGUGAGAUUGCUUGGUCAUGAGUACUAUCUUGUCAGGCUCCUCGGAUCCUCCCUAGAAUUGAGGGUAGAUGCAUCCAAUCUUAGGACAAGGCAGCUUUGGCAAGAUGGCAAAUGGGUUGCUCUUCCAAAGGAUUCUGCAAGAUGUGCUGCUGGUUCACACAGGAGCCGGACAAAAGGUGGAAAUUCAGGGGGCAGUCAUCUUCUAUUAAAGAACAAGAAUGUGUUUGAAGACAAUAUGUCUCGAGGCAUGAAGAGGAAAACCUCUGCUGCAUCAGCUUUCCCUAUGCAGCGCAGUGAAGUUACUAAGAGAUUUCAGACUUCUCGCAGAGAUGGAAGACGCCAACAUCUUGGUCCUGGAGAUUCUCUUCAUUUGAUGGAUAAGGUAGAUGCUGUUGAUUCCCCAUGCUUAAUGCUGGGUGAAAAAUGCAUGCAUGAUUCCUUAAUUAACAGAGCAAAUGGCUUUCCUAAAACAAACCUUGCAGUGGUUAAUGCUAAUGUUGAUUAUCAGUAUCCCUCUGUAACAACUCAAGAUAGUGAUACUGAUAGUGCCGCAUCCUCUGUUGGUAGUUGCAAUCCCUACGGUAGCCCCUAUGGACAAGCACAUCCUCAAGAGUACGACAGUGGAGAUAUUUGUAGUAGGACUGAUGAUGAUGAAGCUUCUGUAUCUGGAACUGAAUCACCUCUUCCAAUUAAAGGUGGUCUGGGGGAAGAAACCCAUCUGCUUGAGUUGCAUGCUUAUCGUGCAACAAUGAUGGCACUAUAUGCUUAUGGAUCAAUUAGCUGGGAGCAAGAGGCUUUGAUGACUAAUCUGAGGCUUACACUGAACAUCUCUACUGAUGAACAUUUAUCAGAGUUAAGGAAUUUGGCUAACUCUGCAGUUUGUUCUAGAUAG